GAGUUUGAUUCUGGCUCAGCCUGAACGCUGGCGGCGUGGCUAAGACAUGCAAGUCGUACGGAGGUAGCAAUACCUCAGUGGCGAACGGGUGAGUAAUGUAUCGCUAACGUACCCCUCAAUCCGGGAUAGCUGGGGGAAACUCCAGGUAAUACCGGGUGACAUUCUCUUUUCGCAUGGAGAGAGACUCAAAGGGAAACCGUUGAGGGAGCGGGCGAUAUCGUAUCAGCUAGUUGGUGAGGUAACGGCUCACCAAGGCGACGACGCGUAGCCGGACUGAGAGGUCGGCCGGCCACAUUGGGACUGAGACACUGCCCAGACUCCUACGGGGGGCUGCAGUAACGAAUCUUCCGCAAUGCACGCAAGUGUGACGGAGCGACGCCGCGUGUGGGACGAAGUCCUUCGGGAUGUAAACCACUGUCAGGGGUUACCAAGUUCUGAGGAGCCCCAGAGGAAGGCACGGCUAACUCUGUGCCAGCAGCCGCGGUAAGACAGAGGUGCCGAGCGUUAGGCGGAAUCACUGGGCUUAAAGCGUGUGUAGGCGGGCCGUUAAGUGUCUUGUGAAAUUCCCCCGGCUCAACCGGGGAAUUGCUGGGCAUACUGGCGGUCUUGAGCAGUCUAGGGGCAGAUGGAACAAGUGGUGGAGCGGUGAAAUGCGUAGAUAUCACUUGGAACGCCAAAGGUGAAAACAGUCUGCUGGGGACUUGCUGACGCUGAGACACGAAAGCCAGGGGAGCGAACGGGAUUAGAUACCCCGGUAGUCCUGGCCCUAAACGAUGUCGACUAGAUCGCGGAACCUCUGACGGUUUCGCGGUCGAAGCAAAAGUGCUAAGUCGACCGCCUGGGAAGUACGGUCGCAAGGCUAAAACUCAAAGGAAUUGACGGGGGCUCACACAAGCGGUGGAGCAUGUGGUUCAAUUCGAAGCAACGCGCAGAACCUUACCUGGGCUUGACAUGCUUGGAUUAUCUCGGUGAAAGCCGAGUAGGACCCGCAAGGGUUACAACAAGUACAGGUGCUGCAUGGCUGUCGUCAGCUCGUGUCGUGAGAUGUCGGGUUAAGUCCCUUAACGAGCGAAACCUUUGCCCUUAGUUACCAUCGAGUAAAGUCGGGGACUCUAAGGGGACUGCCGGUGUCAAACCGGAGGAAGGUGGAGAUGACGUCAAGUCCUCAUGGCCUUUAUGCCCAGGGCCACACACGUGCUACAAUGGGGUGCACAGAGCGAACCUAGAGCGCAAGCUGGAGGAAAUCGCAGAAAUCACCCCCCAGUUCAGAUUGGAGGCUGCAACUCGCCUCCAUGAAGUUGGAAUCGCUAGUAAUCGCGGAUCAGCUACGCCGCGGUGAAUGUGUUCCUGAGCCUUGUACACACCGCCCGUCAAGUCAUGGGAGCCGGAAAUGGCCGAAGCCGUCACACCACUGUGAUGUCUACGCCAGGUUCNGUGAGCUGGGACUAAGUCGUAACAAGGUAGC
rnacentral:rRNA from 1 species